UACGGGGGGGGCAAGCGUUGUUCGGAAUUACUGGGCGUAAAGGGCUCGUAGGCGGCUCGUUAAGUCAGACGUGAAAGCCCUCGGCUUAACCGGGGAACGGCGUCUGAGACUGGCAAGCUUGAAUCCGGGAGAGGGAUGCGGAAUUCCAGGUGUAGCGGUGAAAUGCGUGGAUAUCUGGAGGAACACCGGUGGCGAAGGCGGCAUCCUGGACCGGUAUUGACGCUGAGGUGCGAAAGCGUGGGGAGCAAACAGG
rnacentral:rRNA from 1 species